rnacentral:lncRNA from 1 species
UCUACUGCAAUACUGUAAUAAUAUAUAUUAUAUCGUAAUAAUCUACUGCAAUGGCCUCAUCAUUGCUUUUUAAUUACAAAUACUUGUCAAGAGAAAAACUUAAUGGAUUUGAAAAAUAUAAAUAUAAAUCUGUGGACACAUCACCAUUAUCAAACUAUGUUAUGCAUCCAUUUUGGGAUCAACUAGUCAAGAUAUUUCCUAUGUGGGUCCCUGCCAAUAUUUUAACUUUAUUUGGAUGGAUUUGCUCGU